AGGAAUCUUGAGGGGGGCUCUUCCUAGUACGAGAGGGCCGGAAGAGACGAACCGCUCGUGUGCCUGCUCGUCUGCCAAGGCGAGCGCAGGGUAGCGAUGUUCGGACUGGAUAAGCGCUGAAAGCAUCUAAGCGCCAAGCCAUCUCCAAGAUAAGGAUUCCCAACCCGUUUUGGGUUUAGAAGGCACCUCGAAGACGACGAGGUUGAUAGGCGAGGAGUGGAAGCGCCGUAAGGCGUGGAGCUGACUCGUACUAAUCGGCCGUUCGGCUUGACAGG
rfam:Omnitrophica WOR_2 bacterium RIFCSPLOWO2_12_FTLL_51_8 rifcsplowo2_12_scaffold_30215, whole genome shotgun sequence.